UGCAAAUUGGGAUUGGAGAUUUGGCACAUUAUUUAUAAUAAGGCCCAUAUCAUUGCAAGCAUCUAUUUUUAAUACUAUAAAGUAGGUUUUUUCUCUCUUCAUAGAGCGUGUUAGGACACUUGUCACGUUCAUCGGCUGAAUUUUCUAAACGGGUUUGGGCUUAUAUAGGAAACUGUUGAAUUUUUUAAACAGGUUUACUGGCCCAAUUACAAAAUGUUGUUACAGAAUGUUUAACGUGUUUAACGUAUUCUUAACGUAAUGUCUCGAGGUCGCAUUGAUACAUUCUUUACUCCCAUUUUCUACGUAAUUAACCCACUGUCCCCACUCUUCAUCAUUCAGUUGAGCUCAUCCCCUCCCAGAGCGAUGAACAUCACAGGUUCGAUGAGAUCCAGAAGAAUAGUCUUUUUACUUACUGAUUACUGCGAUGGCGAAUACCUUCAUCCUCCUUGCAGAUUUGAAAGCUGGGCGAUGCUCCAACACUGCGGAUGUUCGUUUGCUGAGAUUUUGGGAGGCAAGAAAUGUCAGGAAAGGCGGUGAACUAAUGAGUCUGGCAUGCUCCUCAUCGAUGAGAAUGUAAACAUCUUUCUUUUCGAUUAACUCUGUAGACGAUUACUCCAUUCCGAUUGUCUAAACUUUUGAACUCGAUGAGAAUGUUUAUCAUAGUACGUCUAAGCAUGUUUUGAGUAAGCAGCAAGUCCAACUCCUGCAGUGGAAAUCAGUGUUAGAGAUUACAAAUAUCAACUUUGAGAUGAGAUUAGAUGAUUUAAACAUACCUUCGAUCGACCAAACGGUAUGUUAGCAAGAUAUGAAUAGAGCAGGACUUCCUUUGCUCGAGAUUCUAUCUGAAAUUCAAAUGGAACACUCUGAUGCAAUGGACUGUCAGGAGGAAGAUGGAGGAUAACGAAGAAGACAUAGACAAAGAUAGAAAUUUAAAACCUCAGAGGUGCAAUCCAAAAAGAACAGCACAAAACAGAGGCAAGAACAACUAGCUGUAAGGAGAGAUGAAGCAGAAGUAGAGCUGUAGCAACGAUGGACCAACCUGAGCACCACUCGAGCAAGAGAGUAACCGGUCACGGACCAUUCUAUCCACUGACGCAAAGAGAGAGUCACUGGUUAAUGCUUGCCCCCUGAAGAUACGUGAGUUUCCUUCUCUCCAAAAGGUGUACACAAUCACCUGAAAAUGAGUUAAAUACCACAGCAGUAUCACUGAGAUCAGAGUCCAUCAGCAACUGAGAGAGGGGUACGGAUGCCAUAAAAUUAGCAGGAGGGGAUGCAAUCAUUCUACCACAAAACCGUGUCCAAAUGUUAACAGUGAAAUUGCAUUGAAAGAACAAGUGUUGAUGAGUUUCAAUUCCUGAAGCACAGAGCACACAACUGUUUGGAACAUUUAAUCCCCAUACAAGAAAUCUGUCACGAGUGGGUAUACACCCAAGAAUGGCCAUCCAAGCUGCAAAGGACCAUCUUGGGAUUUUUUGCUUGAACCAAAUUACUUUUGACCAUGAAACCAAGGCAGAGCGAUUCCUGAUUCUUUCCCAAGUUGCCUUUGAGGAGAACUUUGGUAGAUAAGUUCCGUUAGGUGCGAGCCAAAGAUAUUGAUCCUAUCCUCUAUAUGGUAAUGGAACCUCCAUGGUAGAUAGAACAAUCUGCAAGGUCUCCAUAUCAUCAGACUGAGCUGCUAGAAAAUUCCAUGAACCAUCACGUACUGCAUCAGAAACGUUGGCAUGAAGCUAAACCUGCAAUUGGCAUGGACCAUAUGGUCCAAACAUAGCAUAUACAGGCCCCAGAUCAGUCCAUAAAUCAUACUAAAAUGAUGCACGAGUGCCAUCACCAAUCCUGCGUUGAAGAAAUUUCAGCAGCCAAGGUUUUAAUUGAAGCAUACUCCUCACAUGUUUCUUUCUUUCUUUGUCAUUUGUAUAUUCUGAGUUGAAUCAAUAAAGGAAUAUGAUGAACUCAUUAUAUUUCCUUCUUCAUUGAUGUAAGUAGUCAAAGUCAAAUAUAGAUAGUUUUACAAGGGAACGUUGGAGUGUUACUCUCUUUUUUUUUAAAGUUUGUGCUUUGACUGAGUUUUUCUUUAUUUGGUUUUCAGCUAUCGCUGGUGCUUUGGCUUAAUAUUUGAACACAGAUUACUAAUUUGUUAGACAUUUAUUUUUCUUAGAAUAAUGAUUUCAAGGUUCCUAGCA